GCUGGCGGCAGGCCUAACACAUGCAAGUCGAGCGGUAACAUUUCUAGCUUGCUAGAAGAUGACGAGCGGCGGACGGGUGAGUAACGCGUAGAAAUCUACCUAGUAGUGGGGGAUAGCCCAGAGAAAUUUGGAUUAAUACCGCAUACGCCUACGGGGAAAGCGGGGAGUCUUCGGACCUCGUGCUAUUAGAUGAGUCUGCGUCGGAUUAGCUUGUUGGUGAGGUAAUGGCUCACCAAGGCGACGAUCCGUAGCUGGUCUGAGAGGAUGACCAGCCACACUGGAACUGAGACACGGUCCAGACUCCUACGGGAGGCAGCAGUGGGGAAUAUUGCACAAUGGGCGCAAGCCUGAUGCAGCCAUGCCGCGUGUGUGAAGAAGGCCUUAGGGUUGUAAAGCACUUUCAGCAGUGAGGAAAGGGGUGUCGUUAAUAGCGCCAUCCUGUGACGUUAACUGCAGAAGAAGGACCGGCUAACUCCGUG
rnacentral:rRNA from 1 species